rnacentral:rRNA from 1 species
CUUGAUUAGUGGCGCACGGGUGAGUAAUGCAUAGAUAAUGUGCCCCUUGGUUCGGGAUAGCCACUGGAAACGGUGAUUAAUACCGGAUACUCCUUCUUGUUAUAAGACAAGUCGGGAAAGUUUUUCGCUAAGGGAUCAGUCUAUGUUCCAUCAGCUUGUUGGUGAGGUAAUGGCUCACCAAGGCUAUGACGGAUAUCUGGUUUGAGAGGAUGAUCAGACACACUGGAACUGAGACACGGUCCAGACUCCUACGGGAGGCAGCAGUGAGGAAUAUUGCACAAUGGAGGAAACUCUGAUGCAGCAACGCCGCGUGGAGGAUGACGCAUUUCGGUGUGUAAACUCCUUUUAUUAGGGAAGAUAAUGACGGUACCUAAUGAAUAAGCACCGGCUAACUCCGUGCCAGCAGCCGCGGUAAUACGGAGGGUGCAAGCGUUACUCGGAAUCACUGGGCGUAAAGGGUGCGUAGGCUGGCUUUUAAGUCAGAUGUGAAAUCCAAUGGCUCAACCAUUGAACUGCAUUUGAAACUGAAAGCCUAGAGUUCAGAAGGGGCAGAUGGAAUUAGUGGUGUAGGGGUAAAAUCCGUAGAUAUCACUAGGAAUAUCAAAAGCGAAGGCGAUCUGCUGGGAUGAUACUGACG